rnacentral:rRNA from 1 species
UACGAAGGGGGCUAGCGUUGUUCGGAAUUACUGGGCGUAAAGCGUGCGCAGGCGGCUUCUCAAGUCAGGGGUGAAAGCCCAGAGCUCAACUCUGGAAUUGCCUUUGAGACUGAGUGGCUUGAGUACGGGAGAGGUGAGUGGAAUUCCCAGUGUAGAGGUGAAAUUCGUAGAUAUUGGGAAGAACACCGGUGGCGAAGGCGUCUCACUGGCCCGUAACUGACGCUCAUGCACGACAGCGUGGGGAGCAAACAGG